AAAAUCAUAACUAAAGCAAGCUGUGUUCACUGGGGUAAAAUCUCUUGCCUUUUCCAUGUGUUUCCAUGCAGAGGCAUCCCAUUUGAACAACAGUCUUUGUCUUUUUCUGCUUCACUUCCUCAUUCCCUUGGGAGAAGGAUCUAACUGAUUGAUUCCUGGGCUUAAACAUGUGACUCCAGUAUAUGCCCUGCACACAGUUCUUCUGGUGAGUUACUAGUGCCCUUGCUGAGUAUUUGUAUUUAUUCCUACUAAAGCCUUAAAGAUCAGGACUUUUACCAAAUACUCUUGAAGCCCUCUUAUUUGCCUCAUGCCCCUGCCUUUUUCCCUUAAACUAGAAUUAACCUAGUGAAAAAUAAAAUAAUAUCCGAAAUUUAUGUGACAUGUUUUCCCAAGAAGCUCACAGAUCUUUUCCAGCUACAUCCUGCUGAGAGGGGAAAAGGAUGAAAACAUCAUCUCCACUUUGCAUUUGUGAAAACAGA
rnacentral:lncRNA from 1 species